rnacentral:rRNA from 1 species
AGUGAACGCUGGCGGUAGGCCUAACACAUGCAAGUCGAACGGCAGCACAGUAAGAGCUUGCUCUUACGGGUGGCGAGUGGCGGACGGGUGAGGAAUACAUCGGAAUCUACUUUUUCGUGGGGGAUAACGUAGGGAAACUUACGCUAAUACCGCAUACGACCUACGGGUGAAAGCAGUGGAUCUUCGGACCUUUCGCGAUUGAAUGAGCCGAUGUCGGAUUAGCUAGUUGGCGGGGUAAAGGCCCACCAAGGCGACGAUCCGUAGCUGGUCUGAGAGGAUGAUCGGCCACACUGGAACUGAGACACGGUCCAGACUCCUACGGGAGGCAGCAGUGGGGAAUAUUGGACAAUGGGCGCAAGCCUGAUCCAGCCAUACCGCGUGGGUGAAGAAGGCCUUCGGGUUGUAAAGCCCUUUUGUUGGGAAAGAAAAGCAGCAGGUUAAUACCCCGCUGUUCUGACGGUACCCAAAGAAUAAGCACCGGCUAACUUCGUG